UACGUAGGGGGCGAGCGUUGUCCGGAAUCAUUGGGCGUAAAGCGCGUGUAGGCGGCCCGGUAAGUCCGCUGUGAAAGUCCAGGGCUCAACCCUGGGAUGCCGGUGGAUACUGUCGGGCUCGAGUCCGGAAGAGGCGAGUGGAAUUCCUGGUGUAGCGGUGAAAUGCGCAGAUAUCAGGAGGAACACCGAUGGCGAAGGCAGUUCUCUGGGCCGUAACUGACGCUGAGGAGCGAAAGCGUGGGGAGCGAACAGG
rnacentral:rRNA from 1 species